ACGGAGGGUGCGAGCGUUAAUCGGAAUCACUGGGCGUAAAGCGCACGUAGGCGGUCAUUUAAGUCAGCUGUGAAAUGGUUUGGCUUAACCGGAUCAUGCGGUUGAAACUGGAUGACUGGAGUGCUGGAGAGGCAAGUGGAAUUCCCAGUGUAGCGGUGAAAUGCGUAGAUAUUGGGAAGAACACCGGUGGCGAAGGCGACUUGCUGGCCAGCAACUGACGCUGAGGCGCGAAAGCCAGGGGAGCAAACGG
rnacentral:rRNA from 1 species